rnacentral:rRNA from 1 species
GACGAACGCUGGCGGCGUGCCUAAUACAUGCAAGUUGAGCGCUGAAGGUUGGUACUUGUACCAAAUGGAUGAGCAGCGAACGGGUGAGUAACGCGUGGGGAAUCUGCCUUUGAGCGGGGGACAACAUUUGGAAACGAAUGCUAAUACCGCAUAAAAACUUUAAACACAAGUUUUAAGUUUGAAAGAUGCAAUUGCAUCACUCAAAGAUGAUCCCGCGUUGUAUUAGCUAGUUGGUGAGGUAAAGGCUCACCAAGGCGAUGAUACAUAGCCGACCUGAGAGGGUGAUCGGCCACAUUGGGACUGAGACACGGCCCAAACUCCUACGAGAGGCAGCAGUAGGGAAUCUUCGGCAAUGGACGAAAGUCUGACCGAGCAACGCCGCGUGAGUGAAGAAGGUUUUCGGAUCGUAAAACUCUGUUGGUAGAGAAGAACGUUGGUGAGAGUGGAAAGCUCAUCAAGUGACGGUAACUACCCAGAAAGGGACGGCUAACUACGUG